CCCGACUGCUAUUUGGGUGAGGAUAAGCCAUGCGAGUUGAAUGGGAUACCCAAAGUUCCCAUGGCAAACUGCUCAGUAACACAUGAUCAACUUGCCCUAUAGAGAAAAAUAACCUCGGGAAACUGGGGAUAAUGUUUCAUAGCUGAAUUGGCUUGGAAAAGUUUUUCGGCGAAAGGGGUAAAAAGAAUGGUUUUUAUCUGCUAUAGGAUAGGAUCGUGUUCGAUUAUGGUUGUUGGUGAGGUAAUGGCUCACCAAGCCGAUAAUCGAUAGGGGCCGUGAGAGCGGGAGCCCCGAGAUGGGUACUGAGACAACGACCCAGGCCUUACGAGGCGCAGCAGGCGCGAAACCUCCGCAAUACACGAAAGUGUGACGGGGUUACCCAAAGUGUUCAAUUUUGAACUGUGGUAGGUGAGUAAUGUUCCCUACUAGAAAGGAGAGGGCAAGGCUGGUGCCAGCCGCCGCGGUAAAACCAGCUCUUCAAGUGGUCGGGAUAAUUAUUGGGCUUAAAGUGUCCGUAGCCGGUUUAGUAAGUUCCUGGUGAAAUCGGGUAGCUUAACUAUCUAUAUGCUAGGAAUACUACUAUACUAGAGGGCGGGAGAGGUCUGAGGUACUACAGGGGUAGGGGUGAAAUCUUAUAAUCCUUGUUGGACCACCAGUGGCGAAGGCGUCAGACUGGAACGCGCCUGACGGUGAGGGACGAAAGCCAGGGGAGCGAACCGGAUUAGAUACCCGGGUAGUCCUGGCCGUAAACGAUGCAUACUAGGUGAUGGCACGGCCAUGAGCCGUGUCAGUGCCGUAGGGAAACCGUUAAGUGUGCCGCCUGGGAAGUACGGUCGCAAGGCUAAAACUUAAAGGAAUUGGCGGGGGAGCACCACAAGGGGUGAAGCCUGCGGUUC
rnacentral:rRNA from 1 species